ACACUCUAGUUUCUCUUCAUUCCUGAAUAAAUCUUUCGCCUUUUACUAAAGAUUUCAGUGGAGAGGGACAAUAAUGAGUUGCUAAUCAUUUUUUGAUGCUUGGCGAUAGCUGGGCU